UUACGCUGUUAUCCCUUAGGUAAUUUAGUCUUAUAAUCAACAAGAAUGGAUCAUAAAAUUAUAUAUAAAUAUAUAAAUAAAAGAAAGAGUUUAUUAAUUCAUUCCCAUCACCCCAACAAAAUAGAUUUUAAUAUAAAUAAAUAUACAGACCAUAAUAAUAUUAAAAUUUAUUAAACUCUAUAGGGUCUUCUCGUCCCAUAAAAAAAUUUAAGCAUUUUAACCUAAAAUUUAAAUUCAAAUAACAUUAGUAAGAAACAGUUUAUUCCUCGUCCAACCAUUCAUUCCAGUCCCCAAUUAAAAGACUAAUGAUUAUGCUACCUUUGCACGGUCAAAAUACCGCGGCCCUUCAAAUAUAAUAUCAGUGGGCAGGUUAUACUUCAAAAAUAUAAACAAGAAGAGAUGUUUUUGAUAAACAGG
rnacentral:rRNA from 1 species